rnacentral:rRNA from 1 species
GCCAUGCAUGUCUAAGUAUAAGCAUUUAUACAGCGAAACUGCGAAUGGCUCAUUAUAUCAGUUAUAGUUUAUUUGAUAGUCCCUACUACUUGGAUAACCGUAGUAAUUCUAGAGCUAAUACAUGCACCAAGUCCUGACUGCUUGCGGAAAGGAUGUAUUUAUUAGAUAUAAACCAAUGGCGGGCUUGCCCGUGUGUCGGUGAAUCACAAUAACUUAGCGGAUCGCAGUGACCUUGAGUCGGCGAUGAAUCAUUCAAGUUUCUGCCCUAUCAGCUUUCGAUGGUAGGGUAUUGGCCUACCAUGGCGUUAACGGGUAACGGAGAAUUAGGGU